ACUCAGCAGCAAUUCUUGGGGACUUGGCUGAGCCUCCCAUGCAUUCUUUGACAUGUUGCCUUUUUGUCGAACCCGACAAAGUACCCAAUCAUCCAACUGCAACGAAUUAUAAUAGGUUCUUGUAAGAUGGUCAAAUUCUCAGACAAUUCAUACUAAUAUUUAUUUAUUUUGAGAGAAGUUGUGGUUCAUACUAUAACAACACAGUUCGUAUCAUUGUUGUGUUUCAUAUUUGUCUCUCUUGUGCUUUAUUUGUUGGUUUUCUUGAUUGUACAUGCAGUCUCUGGCCUAAGUUUCUGUUGGAAGAGCAGAUGGAGGAGGAGGAUCAAGUAACUCUAUGCUCUUAGACCAGCAGUGUUAUUUGGUUAACAUAUUCAGGAUGACAUGUUGAUCAUGCUUUUGUGAUAUAUCCUACAAUGGCUUCUCCUGGGUAAAAAGUUUCUUGGAUAUCCACUUAUGAUUGAUGCAAACUGUAGUUAGAAUCUGUUGAUGCUGCAAGAGUCAAGGGACUACUGGCUCAGUGAUGCAUUAGAAUAGUUAUUUUCACAGCUGGAUAAAGAGAGCUUUCUUCUUCUACAACGUUUUAAAACGAUGAUUUCCAUGCUCCAGCUUGUCUAUAUGCCUUUAUUAUCUGGCCUGCCUACUGGUCAGUAAUGAUCCCUCUUGAAUUUUAUCUUGUUUAUAUGUUUAUUAUCACCCAAUAAGGGUAGAAAUCUUGGGUCCUUACUGCAACCAUUU